rnacentral:rRNA from 1 species
UACGUAGGGUGCAAGCGUUGUCCGGAAUUAUUGGGCGUAAAGAGCUCGUAGGCGGUUCGUCGCGUCGGCUGUGAAAACCCGGAGCUCAACUCCGGGCCUGCAGUCGAUACGGGCGGACUUGAGUGUUGCAGGGGAGACUGGAAUUCCUGGUGUAGCGGUGGAAUGCGCAGAUAUCAGGAGGAACACCGGUGGCGAAGGCGGGUCUCUGGGCCGAUACUGACGCUGAGAAGCGAAAGCGUGGGGAGCGAACAGG